rnacentral:lncRNA from 1 species
GUCUUUUCAAAUGGACUGGUACAAAACAAAAGACUGGCUAUGUGGCCGCGCUAACGUUAGCAGUCAGCGACUGUACGGCUAUCGCUGCCCGCUGUUUCAACGACUAUUAUCUAAGAGUUGUCUAGAGAUCUACAGAUUGAGACAAACCGGUGUGCAACCAUACAUUUCCAUGUACUCUCCAUCCUUACUGCUUUUGCCGCACACAGCAAAAGUGUGCCAGUGCCUCAGGGAUGACAGAAACAGCUGCCAGGAGGAUGUUUUACCGAGUGUAUAGCUGUCUGCAGCCCCGGGAAACGGCUCAAGUUCAGCCACAACAUCGAGGGAACUACAAACACUCUGUUGCUGCCGUUACACAGGUCCAGCAGCCCGCUGUGACUGCCCGUGCUGGGGCUUGCUCUGGCUGAGCUCAAGUCUCUUUGGCCACUAACAUUAGUAACUAACAUUAACAUUAAUGGCCCAGUAAAAACACAUGGAUCAGACCCACGUGAAGAUUAUAAAACAGCAAUUACAUUUUGGUUGAAUUUUGGUAUUCUUGUCCACUGACUGACUGACAGGCAUUACACAGGAGUGAAUGCAAUACACAAUAUAACAAAUGCAAUAAAUAUUCCAAACUACUACAACUACAAUAAGAACAUUAGAGAUUGUAUGGACUUAUUUCUUUGGAGCAGGUGGCUCAGAAUUACACACUGACUCUUUAAGUUAAGUUACUCUGUCAUGCACAGAGCACCUUAUUUUCAUUAGAGAUACUGUCAGUGUGAGUUCAACCUGGUUGGCAUGAAAUGGAGGUGGCAUCAGUGGCAGGCAAACAGUGCUUAAGCCCUGGGUGUAAUAAUCCAAACAUAAUGAGAAAAGAGACACGAUCCUUCCCCUCGCAGCCUGUCUUUUUUGUGCAUGUCAGUCCCUUGAUUAGUUCCCUUUGACCAGGUUUGACCAAGAUGUCGCUAAUUUCCCCUUCAAAUUUGCUCUUCUUCCUCUUUUCUAUUUCUUCCCCUCACCUACCCACUCAAUGUAUUUCCUCUUGUCCUAACAAAUCCAUCAUCUCCUGUCAAUAAAGAUUGAAAUCACAGAGGAAAAUGUUUCGGAUAUGCUUAUUAGUUCUGUUGGGAAUUAUUUAUCAUCCUCAUUAGUUGGCGGCAGGAAACAGGAUUGAAAGAGUCCGGCCCAAUCUGCAAGUAGGCCGACUGAAAAUAAACAUACAGUAUGAAUCAAGCAUUAGAUCACACUAUGGGAUGUACGUAAGUUUUAAUAUUCUUUGCUGCUUUUCUCGGUGUGACAGGAGACUUUUAUUUACAUAC